GCUGUGGCGGGACAAUCGUCCAGAUUAUCUUAAUGUUCAGCUCUACCUCAGUAACACUCAGGGAUUACAGAGCAUCAGUGAGGAACGCUACCGUUUCUUGAGCUCCAGGCUUCGGAUUGGUCGACCAGAAUGGAAACUCCUUUUCCAGGAAAUAGGGAGAGCCAAUCAGCUUAAAAGAGUGGGGGUUUUCUGCUGUGGACCCAAAGGGAUCUCUAAAGCGUUACACACUCUGUGCAAUUCAAACCCACACACAGGAACUGCAUUUGAGUACAACAAAGAGUCCUUCAGCUGAGGACGCAAACAAACCCAUCGUUUAAUGCCAAAUAAAAAGCCAUUAGAGUCUGUUUCUGUCACUGAGGAAUGAAGAUAAGAGAGGACAAAUGUAGAUGAAGAUGUCUGGAAUUCAUGCACAGCAUCCUUAUCUAAAAAUGAAUCCUCAGACGAAGGGACGGAAAGCCGGUAAACAGUGUAAUGAGAUGGUAAACUUGCACAGUUGCAUUCAGGGAAUAUUUGAGAUUCUGCAUGUAGAGUUUGUCUACAUGAACCCUUGAUAGACCUUUACAGGAACAGCUCACCCAAAAAUUUUAAUUUGCUGAAAAUGUCCUCACCC